GACGAACGCUGGCGGCGUGCUUAACACAUGCAAGUCGAGCGGAGCGGCGAACGGGUGAGUAACGCGUGAGUAACUGCCCCCCUCUCUGGGAUAACAGUUGGAAACGGCUGCUAAUACCGGAUAGUGGGGGAUGACUCGCGUCCUAUCAGCUUGUUGGUGGGGUAGUGGCCUACCAAGGCGACGACGGGUAGCCGGCCUGAGAGGGCGACCGGCCAGCUGGGGCUGUGAUACGGGCGAAACGCCUACGGGAGGCAGCAGUGGGGAAUAUGGCACACUGGGGGAAACCCUGAUGCAGCAACGCCGCGUGCGGGAUGACGGCCUUCGGGUUGUAAACCGCUUUCAGCCAUGACGCGGUACUUAACCAGAAAGGGACGGCUAACUACGUGCCAGCAGCCGCGGUAAUAC
rnacentral:rRNA from 1 species